rnacentral:rRNA from 1 species
AUUGAACGCUGGCGGCAGGCCUAACACAUGCAAGUCGAGCGGAUGAGGGGAGCUUGCUCCUUGAUUCAGCGGCGGACGGGUGAGUAAUGCCUAGGAAUCUGCCUGGUAGUGGGGGAUAACGUUCCGAAAGGAACGCUAAUACCGCAUACGUCCUACGGGAGAAAGCAGGGGACCUUCGGGCCUUGCGCUCUCAGAGGAGCCUGGGUCGGAUUGGCUAGUUGGUGAGGUAAUGGCGCACCAAGGCGACGAUCCGGAACUGGUCUGAGAGGAUGAUCAGGCACACUGGAACGGAGACACGGUCCAGACUCCUACGGGAGGCAGCAGUGGGGAAUAUUGGACAAUGGGCGAAAGCCUGAUCCAGCCAUGCCGCGUGUGUGAAGAAGGUCUUCGGAUUGUAAAGCACUUUAAGUUGGGAGGAAGGGCAGUAAGUUAAUACCUUGCUGUUUUGACGUUACCAACAGAAUAAGCACCGGCUAACUUCGUGCCAGCAGCCGCGGUAAUAC